UAUUAUUAGUUAUGUUCUUUAAACCUAAAGAAUUUGGCGGUGUUUUAGUCUAUUCAGAGGAAUUUGUCCCAUGAUCGAUAGUCCUCGUUUUAUCUUGCUUGAUUUUGUUUUCAGUAUGUAUAUCGCCGUUAUAAGUUUAUUUUUUAAGGAUUUUAAUUUACUUAAAAUUUUAUUUUGUGAUAUUUCAGGUCAAGGUGCAGUUAAUGAUUAAGUGGAGAUGAAUUACAAUAUUAUUUAAGUAAAUGGAUUUUAUUUUUGAAUUUUUAAAUGAAGGUGGAUUUGAUAGUAAUUUUAAUUAUAGAAUUAAUUUGAUUUUAGAUCUAAAAUAAGUACACAUCGCCCGUCGCUCU
rnacentral:rRNA from 1 species